AAUCAUUCACAUAUUCUUUGAGCCAUUGCUCUGAUUUCAGCUUUAGCACUUGAUCUCGAUACCACAUCUUACUUCAGUGUGGUUUCCUGUGUCAGGUGUAUUCUUGUUGUCGUGUCUUUGAUUAUCUACGUUUUGGAUGCCCAUUUCCCCUUGUUUUUCUUAGGCUUUAACUCUUAUUGAAACACUCAAAUCUCAAAUGUCUAGUAUGAACAUAUGUGACUUUGCACUCUGUUUCAAUUCUGAUGUUUCAGUCUCUAUGUUGAUGACUAAUGUAGAGGUGAAAGUCUCAUGAGUUGUACUCUUCCAUAACUCUAGACAAAUUUAUAUUUAAG
rnacentral:lncRNA from 1 species